rnacentral:rRNA from 1 species
GACGAACGCUGGCGGCGUGCUUAACACAUGCAAGUCGAACGGAAAGGCCCUGCUUUUGUGGGGUGCUCGAUUGGCGAACGGGUGAGUAACACGUGAGUAACCUGCCCUUGACUUUGGGAUAACUUCAGGAAACUGGGGCUAAUACCGGAUAUGAUCUCCUGCUGCAUGGUGGGGUUUGGAAAGUUUCGGCGGUUGGGGAUGGACUCGCGGCUUAUCAGCUUGUUGGUGGGGUAGUGGCUUACCAAGGCUUUGACGGGUAGCCGGCCUGAGAGGGUGACCGGCCACAUUGGGACUGAGAUACGGACCAGACUCCUACGGGAGGCAGCAGUGGGGAAUAUUGCACAAUGGGCGGAAGCCUGAUGAAGAAACGCCGCGUGCGGGAUGACGGCCUUCGGGUUGUAAACCGCUUUCGAAUGUGACGAAGCGUGAGUGACGGUAAUGGGUAAAGAAGCACCGGCUAACUACGUG